rnacentral:RNase_P_RNA from 1 species
GCGGAUGGCUGGAUAAUCGCGGGCUGGGGGCGAUCUCUGGCGCGAGGAAAGUCCGGACUCCAUCAAGCAACGGUGCCGGGUAACGCCCGGCGGGGGCAACCCUAGGGACAGCGCCACAGAGAACAGACCGCCUUACACGCGCGCAAGCGCAAGCUGGGGUAAGGGUGAAACGGUGGGGUAAGAGCCCACCGCGGGACUGGCAACAGAACCGGCAUGGCAAGCCCCACCGGGAGCAAUGCCAAAUAGGGACGUCGCGCGGGGACUGUGUGCUUUGCAUACCGCCCGCAGGGAUGCUUGAGCCCGAGACGUCCGGGUUGGCAGCUUGAGCCUGUUGGUAACAACAGGCCUAGAGGAAUGGUUAUCCACGGCGGGUCCGCCCGCUGAGACAGAAUCCGGCUUAUAGGCCGUCCGCGUAU